rnacentral:rRNA from 1 species
GACGAAGGGGGCUAGCGUUGUUCGGAAUUACUGGGCGUAAAGCGAGUGUAGGCGGUUGCCCAAGUCAGGUGUGAAAGCCUUGAGCUCAACUCAAGAAAUGCACUUGGUACUGGGUGGCUAGAGGACCGGAGAGGAUAGUGGAAUUCCCAGUGUAGUGGUGAAAUACGUAGAUAUUCGGAAGAACACCAGUGGCGAAGGCGGCUCACUGGCCCGGUACUGACGCUGAGACGCGAAAGCGUGGGGAGCAAACAGG